AUACAUGCAAGUCGAGCGAACAGACGAGGAGCUUGCUCCUCUGACGUUAGCGGCGGACGGGUGAGUAACACGUGGAUAACCUACCUAUAAGACUGGGAUAACUUCGGGAAACCGGAGCUAAUACCGGAUAAUAUAUUGAACCGCAUGGUUCAAUAGUGAAAGACGGUUUUGCUGUCACUUAUAGAUGGAUCCGCGCCGCAUUAGCUAGUUGGUAAGGUAACGGCUUACCAAGGCAACGAUGCGUAGCCGACCUGAGAGGGUGAUCGGCCACACUGGAACUGAGACACGGUCCAGACUCCUACGGGAGGCAGCAGUAGGGAAUCUUCCGCAAUGGGCGAAAGCCUGACGGAGCAACGCCGCGUGAGUGAUGAAGGUCUUCGGAUCGUAAAACUCUGUUAUUAGGGAAGAACAAAUGUGUAAGUAACUAUGCACGUCUUGACGGUACCUAAUCAGAAAGCCACGGCUAACUACGUGCCAGCAGCCGCGGUAAUACGUAGGUGGCAAGCGUUAUCCGGAAUUAUUGGGCGUAAAGCGCGCGUAGGCGGUUUUUUAAGUCUGAUGUGAAAGCCCACGGCUCAACCGUGGAGGGUCAUUGGAAACUGGAAAACUUGAGUGCAGAAGAGGAAAGUGGAAUUCCAUGUGUAGCGGUGAAAUGCGCAGAGAUAUGGAGGAACACCAGUGGCGAAGGCGACUUUCUGGUCUGUAACUGACGCUGAUGUGCGAAA
rnacentral:rRNA from 1 species